rnacentral:rRNA from 1 species
UAAGCGUGUGAUGAAAUCUUAGGGCUCAACCUUGAGACUAUUACAUGAACUGGCAAACUAGAGCAUAUGAGGGGUACUUGGAAUUUUUAGUGUAGGAGUGAAAUCCGUAGAUAUUAAAGGAACACCAAUGGCGUAGGCAGAGUACUGGCAUAUUGCUGACACUGAGGCACGAAAGCGUGGGAGCGAACGGGAUUAGAUACCCCGGUAGUCCACGCCGUAAACGAUGGAUGCUA